rfam:Musa acuminata subsp. malaccensis Doubled-haploid Pahang (DH-Pahang) genomic chromosome, chr4
AGAAAAGUAGGGGCAUGAUGUUUUAUCCAUAAACAAGCCUCAUAAAUUUUAGGGAAAUUGUAUCCACUAUUAUUGGGUGAACCUGUGUCCAUUGUUGAUGACAGAAGGUUCAGUAAACAAUGAGACAUGU